GUGGGGUGAGGGGGACACCGGUUAUCUCUUGUCUUGUCUCUUGUCUCCCGCAUGCCGCAUGUCUCCCGUGGACAUCACUGAUGUACAUCUACGUACUGUGCCCUGUGCCAUAUACAUAGUCGUCUUUCGAAUCAACAGGUACAUACUUAAGUGUAGGUACUUGCAAGUGUUUCUUCGAAAUUGAAUAAAAAUAUUACCUUUGAACGUGAACCCGCAAAACAUGCACAGCAGUGGUUAGAAAGCCAUCCAAGAUAUACUAAGUCGGUGAAAAGAACCUCUAUUUUUGAAAGCGUCCACCAACUACAAUACGGAUAAAUUCCUUACAUUCCAACGUUGGUCCAGGUUCUUGGCAAGCAGCAUCUAGAUGUCUAGAUGAGAAUGUUACUUUUGUGAUUACUUAUUCGGUGACAUCUGAGGAAUGUGACAAAUUUUCAUACUGUGGAAUGUGCGGCAUGGGUUGAUAGAAGGAAAAGGUGCUGGAUAAUCCAAAUGGAUAACGAAAGCCCAUUAUGGCCCAGCAUCUACAGACACAGCAUCAGCACGAAUUCUUACCAUUGUGUGAUGUAUUAUUCAACAUAAUCUCUCUUGCUUCGUACUUCUGCGACGUUGUUUUUGAUUUUGCAAUGGUAUAUGCCCUUGCGCAUCAUUCCAUUGCUCCACCAAUUCUUUUUCCUUUAAGUAUUGUCCUUAUCGCAACAUCGUUAAUUAUCUCUCAGAUUGUCAGCGUGCGAUGGUACUUGUGGGGUGCCAGAGGAAGAUUAACUGGUAAAACUAUCACAGAUUGCAAUAUCAGUGAAAAGAAAGAAAAUGGGAAUUGGGCGAUAUGGUGCGUUUUAUUGCUUCAUUCUACUCAAGUUGGAGUAUUAUGGAGAUACUUCAAAUUAUUUAUACCAGUUAAUUUAACUUAUGUUAAACAUGAGGUCAGGGAACUUUGUGUACUUCGCCUUAUACAUGCGUUCUGUGAAGCUGCUCCAAUGCUGCUGUUGCAAUUGUAUCUGUUAUCUAUUGGAGUCAACAACGACUCGAAUAUAGACGUCGGGAAAGCGAAAGAAACUGAACCCAGGGAUAGCGAAAAAUUAGCAAAAUUGACUGCAGUAUCAGCGGGACUCUCGUUAUGGAGUGUAUGUUGGGCGGUAGCUAGCUUUAGCAAAGGUGCAGCUCGACUGCGUAAUUUGGAACGUUUGGUACUUACGUGGCUAGGUGUGCUGGCACAACUAGCAUGGAGGCUAGGAACUGUAAGUGCUAGAGUAGGAGUAUUGGUAGCUUAUGCUUCACUCUAUGGUGGACAAUGGCUGUUAAUUGUCAUGGCCCUCCACUGGCUGUCGAUGUUGAUGUGGCUGCUGCUUACUCCAGAUGGUCUUUUUCACGGUGGUGAACAUUUACCUAUCUUAAGGAAAACUUCUCUGGCCUCUCUUCUCGCUUUCGUUUACAUAUUUGCAUAUGUAAAUUUGCACGAAACGAAUCAUCGUCAAAAGAUGGUAAUAUUUUAUACAGUAAUGUUUUUGGAAAACAGUCUGCUUAUUGGUGUAUGGAUAGUUGGCAUUAAUAGAAGUGAUCUCCUUCCACACCAAAACCAUCCAAAUCCGGUAACUCUUGUACUCACAUUGUUAGCUUUAUUUUUCGGUGGUAUGUUUUUCAUGGGCCUUUAUUACAGAUUUUUUCACGUAAGAAGAUUAAUGUACGAAGCUGGUGGUAGAAUGACAGCUUCGAACCUCACAACGUUACCGAAUCAGGACAAUUUGGAGGAGAAACAAAUAGAUUAUACGGAAGAUAAGAAAGUAAAUAUGAACGUGGGAAUGAGACGAGUUAAGUUAAGUAACGGUGGUAUACCAGGAGUGUUUAACUGCCGUUUUGCCAAUCCAACUGUAGCAAAUCCAAAUCGAAAGAAGAAAAAACCAACUACUUUCGUCCCUCCGCCAUCGCAGUCGCAGACAGGAGCCGUCGCAACCUCAAUGAACGCUAUAGGAGACACGAAACAGUGGCUGAGUAUGAACAGUAAUUCACGUCAAUUAAUUCCAUUUUGGAAAAGAUCCGUGAUGUCUUCUGGUGUAUUACAGAAUGAUCACUCGGGUGAGCAAAAGAUCGGAGCAGACGCUGGAACUGGGGGUUCUUUGAGCGUUAAUUUAAUAAGAGAAAAACUUCAAGAGAAAAAACAACAGCAACUACGAGAAUUACGUGCUAUACAAGAAGAAAUAAAAGAAGGAAAAUUAUUUCCUCCACCCUCGGCAUCGGCGUCCUCGUUCUCGUCAUCGGCUGCAUCAAAUCAACAGCCACCACCUAACACAAAGUUACAUACUUCUCCUAGCUCACCGUUAUUCACAUCUGCUCCUUCCAUAGUUGAUCAAAAUGGAGGAGUCACAUUGUCCUCAUGGCCACCGGUGAAAAUGCAUUGUCUCUUACCUCCGCCACCAUCGUCCUCUUACUACCCGAAUGUUCACCCUUCAAAUUCGUGGAGGACAACGCAGAGAGAAAGGGCGGAUACUCCAGAAAUUUUACUGGCACCACGAUGUCUUCCUCAUCAUUAUACGCAUUGGGCUCCAUCGACUCACGUUAAUCAUAGAUUACGUUCAAGUCAAAACGGAGGAGAAGAAAGCUCAAAAGGCGAAGGCGAAAUAGAAGGGGAAAUAAGUGAUAUGGAGGGUAGCCAAGUGUCGCUACCUCGAAGUUACACACUUCCUCGUGAAUUUAAAUAUAAUCAUCCAAAUAAUACCGCGAGAGAACGAGAACGACGUGUUGGAAGUAGUAAGAUUACAGCAACACGUUUCUAUUUACCUUCCACCAAUAGUUCUGACGGAGAUGUAGAUAGUGCAGACAACGAAGACGAGACGGAUUCCGAAGUACAAUUUCGUGUGAAGAAUGGUUACGGUCAUAAUACUUACAUUGGUGAAGAAGAGCAGCAGCAACAGCAGCAGCGAUACGUGUUCGAAGCUAAUAGUCAACAGGAAUUUUUGCAUUCCAAUUCGGAUUCUACGACAGCUGUCGUAAUCUCGGGAAAUUCUUAUUUAAAUAACUCGCAAGGAGUACAACGGUCGAAUCAGCUUUUCAGAAACAGGGUUAAACAUGAAACAAAACUCUGAAGUUUUAUUUUUCGUAAUACACAUUCAGAGUAGGAAUGUCCAUAAAAGAUCGGCAUUCCUACUUCAGAGAUUGUAUCGUAGCUGAUCGAAGGGAUGAGACAAGAAAGACUGUAUGCUCUCUAUUUUUAUAAAACGACUCCACCUUUUUACAUCGCGCAAGGAGCACAUCCUGCAUUGCGCUAUUCUCAAUUUGAGGCUUCAAAAGUAUAAUUCCAAUUUAUCGACAACAAUACACUUAUUCCGUUUAAAGUCUAAACGAUGUUAGAAAGUACCCUCUCCUUUCUACGAAUUUAAUCUGAGUUGGAUUGUCGGGUAUCAUCUCUCUUUAAAUUUGUCUCUAUGAAGGGAGCAAUUAUUUAAACAUGUGGAUUAUUUGGAUCAACGAUAUUUAUUUAACAAUGGAAAUAUAAAUAAAUAUUUUUUCUUUUGCAGUAGUUAACAUAGUCAAUAUUUCAGUCUCUUUGUCAUAUCUACUGUAUGCACAUUUGUGCGAAUAUACAGAUGUUUUUUAAUAUUACAAUAUGUUAAAAAUGUGCCAUAAAUUAUCUCGAUAGUAUAGAAACCAAAAGUUUUUUUGGACAAUAUUAAAAGAAUUCUCCAUGUUUA